UCCCCUUGUUCCAUUGGAUUUUGAUUUUCCUUAUUUGCAUUUGUUUCAUCUAUUCAUCUUUGAAAUGUCUUGAAUAUUUGCCUCCUUGCUUGUUUGUGUUUAAGUCUGGAUAACUUGUCUUGAAUGGUCUGCUUAACAUUUGAAGUCGUAGCCUAUUCUUGUUGAAAUUCUUUGGAUCAUUAUACUGAGCUCAGAAUUAGUCAUAUUUGGUUAGUGACCUGCAUUUCUGAAGUUUGUGUUGCUCAGUUUUGUAUUGUUUGCCUGAGUAUAAAGGUUAUAUUGUUUAAAUCUUGAUUUGUAUUUACUUAAUUUGGCCAUGGCUACCCUUUCAGAGUUUGAUUCCAGUUGAUGUUGAUAAUCUUAAUGUAUGAAUUGAGAAUAACUAACUAGGGUCAAUUUUUGACCAAAUAGAUGAGAACUAAAGUUAGAAACCCCUAGGCCAGUAAUUAGGAAAAGGGACAGGGGUAUUAAGGGCAUUUGAAUAUAGGGAAUCUUGUAUCAAACUCCUAGAACAUUCUAGUGAGAGGUCUAAGUAUAAUUUCUACCUCAAACUUGAGGCACAAGUCAGAAAACCAAGGACCAUUUAGGAAAAACUGAAAAUUGGGU
rnacentral:lncRNA from 1 species